AUGCCCACCUCUACUACAAAACAGAUACAGGACUGCAGUACUACAGAUUUAUACUACAGCCCAGCCCAUCUCUACUACAGACCAGAUACAAUACUACAAUACUACAGCUGUAUAAUACAGCCAUGCCUGGCUCUACUACAGACCAGAUACAGGACUACAGUACUACAGCCCUGCCCAUCUCUACUACAGACCAGAUACAGGACUACAGUACUACAGCCCUGCCCAUCUCUACUACAGCCCAGAUACAGUACUACAGCCCUGCCCAUCUCUACUACAGACCAGAUACAGUACUACAGUACUACAGCCCUGCCCGGCUCUACUACAGACCAGAUACAGGACUACAGUACUACAGCCCUGCCCAUCUCUACUACAGACCAGAUACAGUACUACAGUACUACAGCCCUGCCCGGCUCUACUACAGACCAGAUACAGGACUACAGUACUACAGCCCUGCCCAUCUCUACUACAGCCCAGAUACAGUACUACAGCCCUGCCCAUCUCUACUACAGCCCAGAUACAGUUCUACAGUACUACAGCCCUGCCCAUCUCUACUACAGACCAGAUACAGUACUACAGUACUACAGUACUACAGCUGUAUACUACAGCCAUGCCUGGCUCUACUACAGACCAGAUACAGUACUACAGUACUACAGCCCUGCCCAUCUCUACUACAGACCAGAUACAGUACUACAGUACUACAGCCCUGCCCGGCUCUACUACAGACCAGAUACAGGACUACAGUACUACAGCCCUGCCCAUCUCUACUACAGCCCAGAUACAGUACUACAAUACUACAGCCCUGCCCAUCUCUACUACAGAACAUAUACAGUACUACAGUACUACAGCCCUGCCCAUCUCUACUACAGAACAUAUACAGUAUUACAGUACUACAGCCCUGGCCAUCUCUACUACAGACCAGAUACAGUACUACAAUACUACAGUGUUAUACCUCAACCCUGGCCAUCUCUACUACAGACCAGAUACAGUACUACAAUACUACAGCGUUAUACCUCAACCCUGGCCAUCUCUGCUACAGACCAGAUACAGUACUACAAUACUACAGCUUUAUACUACAGCCCAGCCCGGCUCUACUACAGACCAGAUACAAUACUACAAUACUACAGCUUUAUAUUACAGCCCAGCCUGGCUCUACUACAGACCAGAUACAGUACUACAAUACUACAGCUUUAUAUUACAGCCCAGCCUGGCUCUACUACAGACCAGAUACAAUACUACAAUACUACAGUGUUAUACCUCAACCCUGGCCAUCUCUACUACAGACCAGAUACAGUACUACAAUACUACAGCGUUAUACCUCAACCCUGGCCAUCUCUGCUACAGACCAGAUACAGUACUACAAUACUACAGCUUUAUAUUACAGCCCUGCCUGGCUCUACUACAGACCAGAUACAGUACUACAGUACUACAGCCCUGCCCAUCUGUACUACAGACCAGAUACAGUACUACAGUACUACAGCCCUGCCCAUCUCUACUACAGACCAGAUACAGUACUACAGUACUACAGCCCUGCCCAUCUCUACUACAGACCAGAUACAGUACUGCAGUACUACAGCUGUAUACUACAGCCAUGCCCACCUCUACUACAAAACAGAUACAGGACUGCAGUACUACAGAUUUAUACUACAGCCCAGCCCAUCUCUACUACAGACCAGAUACAAUACUACAAUACUACAGCUGUAUAAUACAGCCAUGCCUGGCUCUACUACAGACCAGAUACAGGACUACAGUACUACAACCCUGCCCAUCUCUACUACAGACCAGAUACAGGACUACAGUACUACAGCCCUGCCCAUCUCUACUACAGCCCAGAUACAGUACUACAGCCCUGCCCAUCUCUACUACAGACCAGAUACAGUACUACAGUACUACAGCCCUGCCCGGCUCUACUACAGACCAGAUACAGGACUACAGUACUACAGCCCUGCCCAUCUCUACUACAGACCAGAUACAGUACUACAGUACUACAGCCCUGCCCGGCUCUACUACAGACCAGAUACAGGACUACAGUACUACAGCCCUGCCCAUCUCUACUACAGCCCAGAUACAGUACUACAGCCCUGCCCAUCUCUACUACAGCCCAGAUACAGUUCUACAGUACUACAGCCCUGCCCAUCUCUACUACAGACCAGAUACAGUACUACAGUACUACAGUACUACAGCUGUAUACUACAGCCAUGCCUGGCUCUACUACAGACCAGAUACAGUACUACAGUACUACAGCCCUGCCCAUCUCUACUACAGACCAGAUACAGUACUACAGUACUACAGCCCUGCCUGGCUCUACUACAGACCAGAUACAGGACUACAGUACUACAGCCCUGCCCAUCUCUACUACAGCCCAGAUACAGUACUACAAUACUACAGCCCUGCCCAUCUCUACUACAGAACAUAUACAGUACUACAGUACUACAGCCCUGCCCAUCUCUACUACAGAACAUAUACAGUAUUACAGUACUACAGCCCUGCCCAUCUCUACUACAGACCAGAUACAGUACUACAGUACUACAGCCCUGCCCAUCUCUACUACAGAACAUAUACAGUAUUACAGUACUACAGUACUACAGCCCUGCCCAUCUCUACUACAGACCAGAUACAGUACUACAGUACUACAGCCCUGCCCAUCUCUACUACAGCCCAGAUACAGUACUACAAUACUACAGCCCUGCCCAUCUCUACUACAGCCCAGAUACAGUACUACAGCCCUGCCCAUCUCUACUACAGCCCAGAUACAGUUCUACAGUACUACAGCCCUGCCCAUCUCUACUACAGCCCAGAUACAGUUCUACAGUACUACAGCCCUGCCCAUCUCUACUACAGCCCAGAUGCAGUACUACAGUACUACAGCCCUGCCCAUCUCUACUACAGCCCAGAUACAGUUCUACAGUACUACAGCCCUGCCCAUCUCUACUACAGCCCAGAUACAGUACUACAGUACUACAGCCCUGCCCAUCUCUACUACAGCCCAGAUACAGUACUACAGUACUACAGCCCUGCCCGGCUCUACUACAGACCAGAUACAGGACUACAGUACUACAGCCCUGCCCAUCUCUACUACAGCCCAGAUACAGUACUACAGCCCUGCCCAUCUCUACUACAGACCAGAUACAGUACUACAGUACUACAGUACUACAGCUGUAUACUACAGCCAUGCCUGGCUCUACUACAGACCAGAUACAGUACUACAGUACUACAGCCCUGCCCAUCUCUACUACAGACCAGAUACAGUACUACAGUACUACAGCCCUGCCCAUCUCUACUACAGACCAGAUACAGUACUACAGUACUACAGCCCUGCCCAUCUCUACUACAGAACAUAUACAGUAUUACAGUACUACAGUACUACAGCCCUGCCCAUCUCUACUACAGACCAGAUACAGUACUACAGUACUACAGCCCUGCCCAUCUCUACUACAGCCCAGAUGCAGUACUACAGCCCUGCCCAUCUCUACUACAGACCAGAUACAGUACUACAGCCCUGCCCAUCUCUACUACAGCCCAGAUACAGUUCUACAGUACUACAGCCCUGCCCAUCUCUACUACAGCCCAGAUACAGUUCUACAGUACUACAGCCCUGCCCAUCUAUAUUACAGACCAGAUACAGUAUUACAGUACUACAGCCCUGCCCAUCUCUACUACAGCCCAGAUACAGUACUACAGUACUACAGCCCUGCCCAUCUCUACUACAGCCCAGAUACAGUACUACAGCCCUGCCCAUCUCUACUACAGCCCAGAUACAGUACUACAGUACUACAGCCCUGCCCAUCUCUACUACAGCCCAGAUACAGUACUACAGCCCUGCCCAUCUCUACUACAGCCCAGAUACAGUACUACAGUACUACAGCCCUGCCCAUCUCUACUACAGCCCAGAUACAGUACUACAGUACUACAGCCCUGCCCAUCUCUACUACAGCCCAGAUACAGUACUACAGUACUACAGCCCUGCCCAUCUCUACUACAGCCCAGAUACAGUACUACAGCCCUGCCCAUCUCUACUACAGCCCAGAUACAGUACUACAGUACUACAGCCCUGCCCAUCUCUACUACAGCCCAGAUACAGUACUACAGUACUACAGCCCUGCCCAUCUCUACUACAGACCAGAUACAGUACUACAGUACUACAGCCCAGCCCAUCACUACUACAGACCAGAUACAGUACUACACUACUACAGCUGUAUACUACAACCCAGCCCAUCUCUACUACAGACCAGAUACAGUUCUACAGUACUACAGCCCUGCCCAUCUCUACUACAGCCCAGAUACAGUUCUACAGUACUACAGCCCUGCCCAUCUAUAUUACAGACCAGAUACAGUAUUACAGUACUACAGCCCUGCCCAUCUCUACUACAUCCCAGAUACAGUACUACAGUACUACAGCCCUGCCCAUCUCUACUACAGCCCAGAUACAGUACUACAGUACUACAGCCCUGCCCAUCUCUACUACAGACCAGAUACAGUACUACAGUACUACAGCCCUGCCCAUCUCUACUACAGCCCAGAUGCAGUACUACAGCCCUGCCCAUCUCUACUACAGCCCAGAUACAGUACUACAGCCCUGCCCAUCUCUACUACAGACCAGAUACAGUACUACAGUAG
ensembl:lncRNA